rnacentral:rRNA from 1 species
GACGAACGCUGGCGGCGUGCUUAACACAUGCAAGUCAAGGGGGCCCAGCAAUGGGGCAACCGGCGAACGGGUGCGUAACACGUGAGCAACCUACCGAACUGUGGGGGAUAGCCGGCCUAACGGCCGAGUAAUACCGCAUACGCUCUCAGGGAGGCAUUUCUUUGAGAGGAAACCUACGGGACAGAUCGAGGGGCUCGCGGCCUAUCAGCUAGUUGGCGAGGUAACGGCUCACCAAGGCAACGACGGGUAGCUGGUCUGAGAGGAUGGCCAGCCACAUUGGGACUGAGAUACGGCCCAGACUCCUACGGG